GCCGCCACUGCUCCAUCUCCUCCCCGUCUUCUCCUCGUCUCGUCUACUCCGCGGCUCCGUCGCCUUCGCCUCCCCUCCCACCUCAGCUCCGCUGCCUCCGUCUGCUCCGCCUCGCUCUCCUCCGUCCCUCAGCGCGCCACGCCGUCUCCACAGGGUUCAACCUCCACCGGAGCCGAUCUCUCCGCUGAGCACGCCCCGCGCCGCCGUUGCUGCCGAGGGCUCCUCGGUGCCGCUGCAGCCGGGGAGGCGGCCUGCGGGAGGGCCCUAAAUGUGGCCGAUGACUCAAUCCGCGGUCGCAUGUGGCGGCGGCCAGCCCAGCUCCGCCUCUUCCAGCCCAUCUUCCUGGGCAUCAUUGGUAGUGAAGAAGGACUCUUGCAGCUGCGAAAUAUUAGCAGAGGAAAAUCUAUAUGGUUUGAAGGGUUCAGAUUCAUAAUCUGAUAGUAUUAGGACCCUUGAUCCUUCAACCAUUAUGAGAUUUCAAGGCAGAUAGUGCAUCUUGUACUGUUUACCUUGAUUUAGUGAAUGCCUUCUGUAGCUUAAGGUUUAAUUAGCUGACUACUAAUGCUUUGGUAAUCUCCUUUCUGAAUUCCUUACUUGGUAAACAAUGUUCCUCACCCGGUCACCCCAAACUGGUGGAAUAUAAGAAGAAUCAGAACUGGGUCACAAUGUCUGGCGAUUAUCUUGUUUUCUGUUGAGGCGGAACUCAAUUCAAAUAUGGUGGUGCAAGAUACAUACAGUUUGUACAAUAGGUGCUACGUGACUUCACUGGUCGCAUUAUUGACUGAGAUUUCGAGUACGACAACUUCACAAAAAAAUGCUUCGCUGUGGAGCUCCAAGGCUGCUACUAUAACUUCUUGCGCCAUUAUUUGGCAACCUACUGUUGCGGUCUCUAGAGGUGACACCAUUAGUAUGGGUCAGUUGCAUUGGUGACGCUGAGCACAAAGCUGUGAAUCCACUGCCUUUUGCUCUAUAUUGUGUUUGGUUGUGGCGUCAACUGGCUAUCUCGACAACAUUGAUGCUGAAGUUAGCGACCCUCCAAAGAAUGGGAUGUUAGAUGUCAUAGAACUUGUCUGUCAUGUUAUCAAGCAUUCACAGAAUCCAAAUGUCAUAGUUUCUAGAAAUGGGCAUGAGCUAUUGGAAUCUCCCAUGUGUUUAGAUCCCAUGUAUCCUCCAAUUCAUCAGGUUUUUGGCUUUCUAUGUGUAUGCCGAUAUAUGAGAAUACCCAGUUGCAAAAGAACAUGACAUUGCCAACCAAGUUAACCACCCGAUGCAUCAGGCCUACCUCCGACUAGCACCUUGCAAACAUUUUGAACUUACAGAUUGCACGCUCUCCUUUUUCAUUUUCAAUGUUGUCUAGACUAUUCCUUGUCAAUUGAUUCUACAAGGAGGGCUGAUAUCUCAUUAUUUAGAAUUUACACUACAAAUCCUUAAGCUCAGAAAGAAAGUUAUGAAUGUGUCUAGAGGCUCUUUUACUAUUGUCACAUUUGUGCAUACCGUUCUCCAAUGGCCAUGCCAUUUGUUCUGAAUGCAAGCCAAGGGUUCAUAAUUGUCGUCCAACUAGCAGGAGUGAAUUGGGUAACAUAAUAUGCCUUGCUUUGGAGAAGGUUGGCGCCUCUCUAGAGGUUUUGUUCAAGUUCCAGAAUUUUGGAUGCUUGGGAAUAUAUCCUUAUUAUUGCAAGUUGAAACAUGAAUCAGAGUGCCAAUACAUACCAUAUACUGGCCCAAAUGCAGGUUCUGAAUGCACUAUCGAUGGUGACAUCCCAUAUCAAAUUUCAGAGUGUUCUUUGAACUAAUUCUGUUUGAUCUUUCUAUAGGUUUUAGAUUUUUGUGGAUUUAUGUGAUUGAAUCUUGAUAUGUUGGGAAUGCGUCGAGAAAAUGCAACAUGACUUGAUGUUUGAAGUUACAACCUUAUAGGGGCAUCGACUCAAAUUUGCAACGACGAAUUUUAUACCAUGCUUGUGUAGCUCGGUCUGGUAAUUUUCUUUCUCGAACAUAUAAACAGAUUUAGUCCUGUAUCUUGCUUUGACACUAAGUAAUUCUUUAUAAAAAAUCUUAAAACUUGAAAUUUGUGUGUUUAUUAGUGUACUAUUGGUCUGCGUAUCUAAAUAAAAUAGCAGUGCAUAUGACCAUAAUUACGCAGAUUCUUGAGACUUAAAAACUCAACCAUGAUUCCAUGUUUAGGGAUGCAAUGAUUCAGUUUGGACAUCCAAUAUCAGCUGGGUUGAGGUUCUGGAUGUUUUUAGAUAGGUAGCUGUACCAAAUGCAAAAUUCUCACCUCAGUGAACUACUGUUCAGUAUGUGACUGAUUGAACUGAAUAAGAUCACCUAUAUAUAUCUCUGAACUAAAAUACACUUAAUUUCUAUUCUUGCUUGACGCCCCGCCUCAACCCAUUUCCUUCCCUUGGCCACCGCUCCACCCACCCGCUCUGCCCCAUUUCUAUGCGAAACCAUAGAGAUGGUGGCCGCUGAUUGAUGUGGCCCUGGUGGUAGCGACAACGGCUUCAAGCAGGAAUACUAGGAGAAAGGAAGACGGGCAUAGAUCCAUGCGGAGCAUGAGGCGGGGAGCUAGAAUAGAUCGACACCAGGGCGUGAGGACCACCUCGUCAUUCUCAAACAAUGCCAGUACACCAUGUCAGUAUAGUAUCAUGUUCAUGUCAGAAUCUAAGAGAUUUAGGAACAUAGGAAGUAGAUGGUAAUUAUGGACGUUGGAGAGGAGUAAAUUUGAUCACAUAUACUAUAUAGGGACUUCGUAGAUGCGUUCUAGCAGCAGAAGCACAAAACCCUGUAUGGAGAAAAUUCACUUUUAUUGAAGUACUGACAUGAAUAUGACAGUACGGUGUUGAUCAGUAGUGGUGGGCGAGGCGUGGGAGGUGACGACGACGAAUGAUACGGUGGUCAGUAGAUAAAAGGUAAGUGCCGCCGCCGUUUGGUCCCUCUCCUCUCCUUGCUUCUGCCUCUUCCUAUAUUCAUGUUUUGUGUUCUUGCCUUGUUGGAAGCCGUUCAUUUCCACUGCCCAGCGGGGGCAUCUUCGAGGACUAAUCUAGCAUCAGGCGUUAUAGUAGGAGACACGGCUCUCAUGGAUUAGGAUGUUGCACAUCAUUGACGGGUCAUUCCAUGGAUUAGGAUGUUGCACAUCAUUGACAGGUCGUUCCGCGCGCUGCUCUUGUUGA